AGAACGAACGCUGGCGGCAUGCCUAAUACAUGCAAGUCGAACGAACACUUCGGUGUUAGUGGCGCACGGGUGCGUAACGCGUGGGAAUCUGCCCUUGGGUUCGGAAUAACAGUUGGAAACGACUGCUAAUACCGGAUGAUAUCGAAAGAUCAAAGAUUUAUCGCCCAGGGAUGAGCCCGCGUAGGAUUAGCUAGUUGGUGAGGUAAAGGCUCACCAAGGCGACGAUCCUUAGCUGGUCUGAGAGGAUGAUCAGCCACACUGGGACUGAGACACGGCCCAGGACUCCUACGGGAGGCAGCAGUAGGGAAUA
rnacentral:rRNA from 1 species